AUUCAACACCCCCCGCGCGCAGCAGUACAUUUCUACAGAAGAAGAGGGCUACUAAACCCGUGCACUGGGAGUAGUAGAGAGUGAGAAAAACGGGCUGCUGCGAUAUCCUGUGACACACCAAUUAUUACUCCACUGCCACUGUUUCCAAAACGGCUCCGCUCCCCUGUUGGCCCGAGGCAGCGACAGCAAAAGUAAUCACAAGACAAACGCGCGCUCGGUGCGACACGGAACCUUGAUAACAGGUGGUGGUGCUCCGGAUUCCGGUGCAAAGGGCCCCCCCGUGAGAAGCGAACUUGCCACGCCGUGAUCGCCGUUUCGCCAGCGUAAACGCAAUACCAUGCAAGCCAUCAAAUGUGUCGUCGUCGGUGACGGUGCGGUCGGUAAGACGUGUCUGCUGAUCAGCUACACCACGAACGCCUUCCCGGGCGAGUACAUACCGACCGUGUUCGACAACUACUCGGCAAACGUGAUGGUCGACAGCAAACCGAUCAAUCUCGGGCUCUGGGAUACGGCCGGCCAGGAGGAUUACGAUCGGCUACGGCCCCUGUCCUACCCGCAGACGGACGUCUUUCUCAUCUGCUUCUCGCUCGUCAAUCCGGCCUCGUUCGAGAACGUGCGGGCGAAGUGGUAUCCGGAGGUGCGCCACCACUGCCCCAACAUACCAAUCAUAUUGGUCGGCACCAAGCUCGAUCUACGGGACGACAAGGGCACGGUGGACAAGCUGCGCGACAAGAAGCUGUCGCCAAUCACCUACCCGCAGGGGUUGGCCAUGGCGAAGGAGAUCGGAGCGGUGAAGUACCUCGAGUGCUCAGCCCUCACGCAGAAGGGCCUCAAGACGGUGUUCGAUGAGGCGAUCCGGGCGGUGCUGUGUCCAAUGAUACCACCCAAGAAAAAACCCAAGUGUAACAUCCUCUAAAGAUCGUCCUUCUUCCUUUCGUUUAAGCCGCGCGUGUAGCAAACAACCUACACCACUCUCGCUCUCACUCACUCUCUGACUCUCUCUCAACCUUACUGCCGCCUGCCUGUCUGCAGCUCUCCCUCCCUUGAAAACUUCUCCCCACGAAAGUGACCGAUUUGGUGGCCCCUUUCCCUAUGCACCGGUAUGCACAAACGACGACAUAACGCGCCCAGAAAGCGCACGGAUUGCUCCUUCUGGUCGCGCGCAACCAGAUUCCCGAUUCCUGGGCGGGCGUGGACAGAGUGGAGCAGAAGGACAAGGGCGCGAGAAACGAUCGGUCGAAAGGGACAAACGACACUCCAGGAAAUGGCGACGCAAAACGCAUAUAGAAAAUUUGGCAAAAUUCUCCACGCAUCGUUAUCAAUCAUCACCGCCACCAUCCUCACAUUUCCGUGACAUCUUGUUUUCACCCUUGUGGGAAUCGGCAAUCGGUGCCGGAUGGAUGUGAACCGAUCGGGGAAUGAUUGAGAGAAGAUUGUUGUCCACUUUUGGUCCAGACACACAGGCGUAUGCUCCUGUGCGUUGUUUUAGCAAAUGUCCGGUGCCGCUUCGUAUUUUGAUGGUAUAGAUUGCGCAAUGAGUGUGUGAGGGGGUGUAAGUGCUUGUGUUUGUGUGGUUAUUAGGUGCUUCUGCACUCGUUACCGGGAAAUUGAAAGGUCUUCCGAAUUCCUUCGGAACAUCAUCAUCUUCAACGUGACACGGACCCACAACAGGCGAUUGAUUCAUUCACAAAGAUUUGCGUUCAUCAAAAUCAACUAAAAGAUUGGCAAACCUCCACCAAAAUUGGCCAAAAAUGUUACCAUGUUGAAGAUGAUGAUGACCACCGGGGAUGAUGGCUACGUCAAGGCGAUCGAAAAAAAAAACAUUUGUAUCGAUCACACGCUCGUCGGCCAUUGACUGCAUUUCAGCUCCUCAAAGAAUUGGCGUAGACUUAAGCGAAGAAUUGUCCCACCACAUCUACACAUCAUGCACGCACACACAUUAGCGAACCGGUGACCAUGUUUCGUUGCGCAGCGUCCCAAAGUUUCAUUCUAUGUUCUUAUCAUAAAGUUAGGCAUAUCAUUUUUGUCAAGGGUAUGAAAUGCAACUCGGAAUCAUGAUGUCAGUAAUGAGCCGACGAAGGAAAUCAUGAGGGAAUUGUUUUUUUCUUUCUUACUAGUUAAUUGACCUUAAAUUGUUGAGGUUCGAAGGAACGAUCAUCCGGCGCCGAGCGCUUUUUUUUGUUAGUUACAAUUUUUCUAUGCUUUUCUUUCUUUAUAUUUUGAAUAUUGUAAAAUCUAUGCCUGCAAUUGAUUAUUGGUUGCACAACAAUUCCAAAACAUACGGAGUCGUCGGGAGAAGUCGGGAGUCGAGGAGAGCCUUGUAGAAUUCUUCUCAAAGAAGAUAAAAGGUCGCACACGGGGAGGACGACGCAGAGGGAGGGUAGGUUUCUUCCGCUAUAUAAGGCCGCGAUUAACAGGGGGAAGAAACGGGAGCGGGAUCGAGGGGGAUCACAUUAAAAAAACGAGGAGACCGAUUGUCGAGAGUAGAGAGAAAAUGGAG